rnacentral:rRNA from 1 species
UACGUAGGCAGCGAGCGUUGUUCGGAGUUACUGGGCGUAAAGGGUGUGUAGGCGGUUUUCUAAGUUUGGUGUGAAAUCUCCCGGCUCAACCGGGAGGGUGCGCCGAAAACUGGGAGACUAGAGUGCGGGAUGGGAGAGUAGAAUUCCUGGUGUAGCGGUGAAAUGCGUAGAUAUCAGGAGGAACACCGGUGGCGAAGGCGGGUCUCUGGGCCGUAACUGACGCUGAGGAGCGAAAGCGUGGGGAGCGAACAGG